AACGAACGCUGGCGGCAGGCCUAACACAUGCAAGUCGAACGCCCUCUUUGAGGGAGUGGCAGACGGGUGAGUAACACGUGGGAACCUACCCAGUAGUACGGAACAACACAGAGAAAUUUGUGCUAAUACCGUAUACGCCCUACGGGGGAAAGAUUUAUCGCUAUUGGAUGGGCCCGCGCUGGAUUAGCUAGUUGGUGAGGUAAAAGCUCACCAAGGCGACGAUCCAUAGCUGGUCUGAGAGGAUGAUCAGCCACACUGGGACUGAGACACGGCCCAGACUCCUACGGGAGGCAGCAGUGGGGAAUAUUGGACAAUGGGCGCAAGCCUGAUCCAGCCAUGCCGCGUGAGUGAUGUCGGCCCUAGGGUUGUAAAGCUCUUUCAACGGUGAAGAUAAUGACGGUAGCCGUAGAAGAAGCCCCGGCUAACUUCGUG
rnacentral:rRNA from 1 species